rnacentral:rRNA from 1 species
UACGGGGGGAGCAAGCGUUGUUCGGAUUUACUGGCGUAAAGGGCGCGUAGGCGGCCAGCACAAGUCAGUUGUGAAAUCUCCGAGCUUAACUUGGAACGGUCAACUGAUACUGUGCGGCUAGAGUGCAGAAGGGGCAACUGGAAUUCUUGGUGUAGCGGUGAAAUGACGUAGAUAUCAAGAGGAACACCUGCGGCGAAGGCGGGUUGCUGGGCUGACACUGACGCUGAGGCGCGAAAGCUAGGGGAGCGAACGGG